AUGACGUUACCUAGUCUGACAGAUGUUUCAGUAAACAAACACAAAUGAUCUAGUUAUGAAAUAAAUUCUUAAAGCCGUUUAUCAUAGAAAACUGUGACCAUCCAAUGACUAACAGACAAAAAAAUCAAGCUCAAACAAAAUAAAUAAUUAAGUUCCAAGGUCGUAAUGCUCGCAGCCCCUUUCGCCAAUGCUCAUAAUACAAAUAUACCUAACUCAAUACCUCCAUAAUAUAUAUAUUUAAGGUUUAUUAGUUUGCUGUUGAGGACAUAUCACUUAGUCGACAGAAUGGAUUGCACUUCCUACGAGAAAUUCCGUAAGUGGCAAAUAGCGUAUGCAAAAAAACUACAGAAAAAAGCAGAGCAAAGAGAAAAGAGAGGUACAGAGGAAGAAAACAAAUAUAAACAGGAGUUAAAAGAAUUGCAAGAUAAAAGUGCUAAAAAACUACAAGCGUUAAGAAUGUCUCUCAGAAAAAAUACGAACCCUCGAAUUGUCACGGUGAACCAGUGUGGUUGUAAACAACGCCAACGGUGCUGUCUUAUGCAUUGUUGCAGUUUGAUUUCUUGCGGCGUUUUUUGGGUCAUCGUCGCGUUUGCGAUCCAUAGCGCAUAGAGUCAAAUAUGUAGUACCUAAGUAGUGUUUCAAAUAUUAAAGAGUAAAUCAGA